AAAGUUUCCCGGCCCGCGCCGCCGCCGCCACCACCGUCGCGGCCGCCGCCGCCGCCGCCUGGGGCUCCCGCCUCCCGGAGCGCCCGGCCCGACCGAGCUCAGCGCGCGGAGCCCCCCGCCCGGGCCGAGGAGGGGACGGCGCAGGAGGAAGGAAGAGGCAGCGGCGGCCGCGGCGGCAGCAGCAGCAGCAAUGAAGGCGUCCGCGGGACUCCCCGCCCCCCGCGCACCGCGGCACGUGCUCGCCCGGGGACUCCCCCGCCCGGGAGGGCGCACACGUGCGGCCCCGCCGAGCCCCGCCGGCCCGGCCGGGCCCCGGGCCGGGCGAGAGGGGGGUGGUUCCCGCGGAGGGGAGGGGUCGGGUGGGCGGCCUGCGAGCGGCUUGGGGCAGGCUCCGGCCCGGCCGCCGCUUCUCUGCACCUGCAGUGGCUCCCACCCACGCGGUCGGCCCUCCCGGGAGGCGGCCGCCCCCUUCGGGUUGGCCACCCUCGCCCUCCGGCGGGGCUGCAGCCGGGGCCGGCGAGGCGGGGUGGGGCACGCGGACCUUCCAGCCUAGGCCCUCGGCCGAGCCUCGCUCGGUGUCCCCACUUCCUGCCACUCCCUGCGGGCCAGAUCUGUCCGGGACAGCCCCGGCGCCCCCGGGAGGCCUGAGCGCCGGGCCCGACUGACCCCCCUGUCCCAGCUGCCGCUGGCUCAUUCCGAGGCAGGACAAUGGGGGACAUCGCGCGUUUGCGUACCGAGUCAGCCUGGCCGGCAAGAAGGGGUUGCUCGGGGGCAGAGGCUAAGGGCACCCUCGCAGGGGUCACGGCCGAAUGCCCUGUCCAGGUGGACCCCACGGCCCUGCCAUCACCAGCCUCCCCCGCGCCGCGCUCGAUUCUUUCGCGUCGAAAACAAAGACUAAUCCGAUACCCCCGCCCUGCCUCCCAGAGGAGGGGGAACGGGCGCGUCGCGGAGGGUAACUGAGGAGGACAGCGUUCAGGAGGGCCUCGGACAGCCUCGAGGGGGCCGUGGGGCGACUAAGCCCUAAAACCCGGCGCAGACACUUUGAAGAGUCACCCUGGGCUACGUUCCAGGCAGGGGGUAAGGGGCAGGGCUCAGGAAUAUUUCCAAGUUGCCAAACUGCCCGUUCUCUCUGCUGCUUUUUUCCCUCACCUGUUGUGCAGGCCAAGUUGAAAUUCCAGGUUAGAUUAAUUCAGCCCCACCCAUCUGGCCUGACUGCCAGGCUGGUGCCUGCAACUGCCUUCCACCUACCUCGGUUGCAGGGGAGCAGGGUGGGUCUCUGACAUACACGCGCACACACACACUCGGGCGAGUCCUGGCAGAAACAGCCACAGGACGGACUGGCCUGACCAGUUUGGGCGGUGCUCACGGAGCCAGGUACCUGGCAGGCGUCGCCGCCCGGCUGCAGCUAACAGCUUAGCCAGAACUGGAAAAAGAGCAUUCGGCCGGCUAUUUAGAAAGAAAGAAAAAAAAGUAACUGAUCUGAAGUAGCGCUGUCCAGAAAGCCCUAGGCGGUAAAGCAGCCCGGGUUCUAUCUGGAACUUCCCUCUGAUUUUGACAGCCUGCUCCAGGGUCCAGGUUGUCAGCGAGGGAGUGGGUGGGGGUGAACAUGGCUGCAAUAUCCACUUCCUACCAUGGCCUUUGGGAGGACUGAAGAGUUUCUGUUCAGGGUAGUAAGACUAGAACCGAGACGAAAAACCAAGAGAGUGCAAUUUUCAAACAGGGGAACAGGUUGCAGACUCGUAAUUGUUUUUAAUGUAAUAUAUUUUUAAUAAGCAACUUUAUUAAUAAAAAAUGUGUAUAAAGAAGACGUGGAGACUACAGAUACUAGAGGGGAAAAAUCACCAAAUUACAACCAUAUUUAACCAUUUGCUAUAUUUCCUUGUAGCCUUUCCUAUUUGUGGAUUUACUCACACUGAUUAUACAAUUUGCCAUCCUCUUUUAACUUAACAUUGUACCAUAGGCAUUUCCCUGUUUGGUAUACAGUUUUCAGAAAGUGUGACAGUGAGGUGAAGAAGAUGGCUCAGGAGCCAGAGAACUCUGGCUUCCAAACCUGAAUCUGCCACUUGGUAACAGUGUGACCUUGGACUAGGUACUCCAUCUUCAAGGGAAUCCAAGUAAAAGACUUAAUAUAGGGCUCAAUGAAUGACAACAACUAAUAUUGUUUAAUCCAUAUGACAACCUUGUGAGGUAGGUACUAUCAUCAAACCCAUUUUAUGGAUAAGAAAACAGAUUAAAUAACUUGCCCAGGAUCACUCAGCUAGUAAGUUGUGGACUUUCAGAGGAGCCCAGCAGCCAUCCUCUUGUAUUCUGUCUGGGUAAAUGGCACCAGCAAGUUACUGUGUCAUUUACUCUUUGCCAGCAAUCUAUGAGAGGGUCAUUUCAUAAAGCCCUCUCGUUUAGGUAACUGGGUGAAUGCUGGUGCCAUUCACUGUGACAAAAUGCAGAAGGAAGGAUGCCUGGGGAUGGAGACAUUCGUGUGAAAUUACUACAAACUCCUGGAAGGGUAGCACGCUGUCUUUCACCUCAUAACCCUAGACCUAGCAACCAACCACUGUGUUGAAUGAAGAGACGAGGUGAGUAGACCCUAAUGAAUGACAGACCCCAGUAACACUGAAGACCCAUAGGCUUCUUUCCUGCUUUCUUUACGACUUGCACAAACUGGUCAGGGGCGCCCAAGAUAAAACAGCCUAAACUCCUCAGGUCCUGCCUUCUGGUUCUCCAGCCUCCUGGGCUGCUGCGGCUAUUCCCAUUCACAUUGCGCUCAGGGCAGGAGAGCAGCGGGGGUGGGCGUAGGGAUAGGGCGAGCCCUUCCUGGGGCUGCAUUAGCCUAGACGCAGUGGUUCCGCCAAGAGAGCCCCGGCACCAGCAGCAUCACCAUCUCCUGGGAACUGGCUAGAAAUGCAAGCUCUCGGCCCCAUCCUAACCCCACUGAAUCAGAAACCCUGGGGGCGGGCCCAGCAAUCUGUUUUAAUUAGUCCGUCAGGUGAAGUCAAGUUAGAGCAGCACUGGACUACAGCAAGCGGGGGAGAAGGAAGUUCAGCACCCAGGUGGAGACUGCGAUUAGGCCCCCAAGGCGCUUAGAGCAGACAGAGGGAGAGAGGCUCCUUUUAGGAGCGGGUUUGGCGGGCGCCACCCCAAGCGGCCAAGGGCGGAGCCUCUUUUAGGCGACUGCUCCCGCGAGGUCAGAGCCGGGCUGUGCCGCUGCCCCCGGGACUAGAAAGGGAAAUCUCCUUGCUAGAGGAGGAAGCCCUAAGAACUCAAGGGAGAUAGGGGUGGCAGGGGCAUUUCCCUGGAUGCCUGGAGCAUGGAGGGUGCGAAAUAAGGAGGCUUUCCUACCCCAUUGAUGAGCUGAAGUUGAUUCCGCACGGGGGAGGAAAGGGACAGGAAGCAUAAUUGGAUGUGCAAGCCUGUGGUUCUUCAGGAAGUUAACACGUGGAACUAACACUGUUGGAUGCUGCUGAACUCUCAGGUGAUUGAUGUGACUAACCUCCUCAGAUAAGAGAACUGGCGCUCAGUGAGGUAAUUUGUCCAAGGUCAUUCACUACUACAUGUCAGAAUCCAGGACCUACAAUCCAGGACCUCUGAAAUUAGCCCACGAAUGCUAGAGCUGAUACCAGGCAGAAGCUGGCAUUUUGCUCUCAGGGAAAGGGAGGUUCAUUAGUGGGUUGCUUGUGGACCUGCAUUGGUGAGUGUGACACGUGUAGGAUAUCUAUGCUAUGCGUUUUUGGGUUUUUUGUUUUGUUUUGGUUUUGGGUUUUGGUUUUUUUUUUUUCUUUGAGAUGGAGUCUCACUCUUGUCACCCAGGCUGAAGUGCAGUGGCGCGAUCUGGGCUCACUGUAACCUCUGCUGCCCAGGUUCAAAUGAUUCUCCUGCCUCAGACUCUCGAGUAGCUGGGAUUACAGGCACCUGCCACCGCGCCCAGCUAAUUUUUGUAGUUUUAGUAGAGACUGGUCUUGAACUCCUGACCUCAUGAUCCACCCACCUCGACCUCCCAAACUGCUGGGAUUACAUGAGUGAGCCACCGCGCCCGGCUACUACGUUUUUCAAUAGCCCCGCAAAUGUCCUCAUGUUUUAUAACUAGUUUUGUGACUGCAUUUUGAAUUUUUUGAAUCAAAUAGGCUUCAUUACUUGCAAGGAGAAUGCAAGGGUACCCAUCAUAAUGGAAGGAAUACCCAACAGGGAUAAAGGCCUUGGUGCCCCUGAGCCUUGGUUGACAGGGUGUAUCAGUCAGGAUCAGUUAGAUUGUGCUGGAGUAAUAGACAAUCCCCAAAUCACAGUGGCUUUACAUAACAAAAGUGUAUUUCUCAAUCACAAAACGUGUCCAUUAUGAGUCAUUAGGAGCUCUGUUUCCCGUAAUCACUCGGGCAUCCAGGCUGCUGCAACUGGACAUGCAUCUCCUCAACCCUGAAGGCAGGAAACAAGAAUGGGGCAAAUCUAGCACUGGCUCUUAAAGCUUUUCCCUGGAAGUGACACACAUCACUCCUGCUGUCAUCUCACUGGCCAAAGAAAGUUACAAGGGGGCAGGGAAGUGCAAUAAGUACAAUCCUGCUAUGUGCAGGAAGGAUAAGCAGAAGUAUUUGGUUAACAGCACUAACACACAGGGAGUGUGUGUGAGUGUGUGAAUGUAUAUGUGUAUAUUUGAGGUAUGUGCAAUUACACAUACUGCCCAUUUCCAGAGCAUUCCUCCCUCCUGGCGACACAUAUUAGAGAUUCCUAGUGUAAAGGACUGUCUUACCUUGCACUAGAGCAGGUUCAGAGAUUUAAACUAAAGCGAAAAAAAAUAAGAGUUGAAGGAAACAUAGUAGAAGAGGUGAGUGGCUGUGGGACAAACUCAGUAGAAAUUCGUUUGUAAAUAGAGAAAGAAAUCCAGGAAAGGAAGGUACUCAGGGUGUAUGACACAAGGAGCCUGCCUACUAAAGGAAACUUCUAAAACAGCGUAGCUUUAGCAGAGGCGUUUCCUGCCGCCUUGCCAUUAACUCCCACUCAUCCUUCCUGGUUAAACUCAG
rnacentral:lncRNA from 10 species